GGCAGGGAGCAGGAUGCAGUGAUUGACAUGCCUGAUAUCCAAUCGGAGCAAAAAUUUCUGAGCACCGCCCUAUGAGCAGGGAGCAUCCCGUUUCGGGUUGGUUGAGCUGCAGAGUCUGGGAUAAAAAGGAGAGUGGGGAGCAGCAGAGAGUCAGAGAGAGAGAGACAGAGAAGAAGCAGCAUUUACACACCUGUCUAUCAGCUCAGCAAUCGAACAGGAAAAGAGGAAUGCGGCAGGGGCAGCCUCCUGAGAUUGGCAGCAGACAAGGCUUCAUUGCGCCUGUACAUUCCACAAUGCCGACCAUUUUUUUAUAUGUAUGCCUGGCACAUCAAUAAUCACAACACUGCGCCUUGAGGGGAGAGGCACUGGCCCACUGACCCCUCAAAAUUCAAGGCACUCUCUGCUUGUAUUUGGUGAUUUUAUUUUCUCUGUUUGCUUUUGACACAGCUUUGGGCGGAAUAAUGGGGAGGAAGGUGGAGAUUAGGGGUCUAGUGGUAUGGGGGUGAGGGUGGGAGAUGCUGAAUAAUUGAGCUAUGGACUAUGGCUGGAUUUAUACUAUGUAAUGGUGAUGCAUUGGCAAUUGUUUUUGUCUUCCUAUUAAAAAAACUCACUGAAAAAGUUUAAUAUAAAAAUGAAAUAAAAGAUACAUUUGAAAUAA